rnacentral:rRNA from 1 species
UACGAAGGGGGCUAGCGUUGCUCGGAAUUACUGGGCGUAAAGGGCGCGUAGGCGGCGCAACAAGUCACUUGUGAAAUCUCCGGGCUUAACCCGGAGCGGCCAAGUGAUACUGUCGUGCUAGAGUGCGGAAGGGGCUACUGGAAUUCUCGGUGUAGCGGUGAAAUGCGUAGAUAUCGAGAGGAACACCUGCGGCGAAGGCGGGUAGCUGGGCCGACACUGACGCUGAGGCGCGAAAGCCAGGGGAGCGAACGGG